rnacentral:rRNA from 1 species
CCUACGGGUGGCAGCAGUGGGGAAUAUUGGGCAAUGGGCGCAAGCCUGACCCAGCAACGCCGCGUGAAGGAAGAAGGCUCUCGGGUUGUAAACCUUCUUUAAGAGGGAAGAGCAGAAGACGGUACCUCUUGAAUAAGCCAUGGCUAACUACGUGCCAGCAGCUGCGGUAAUACGGAGGUGGCAAGUGUUAUCCGGAUUUACUGGGUGUAAAGGGCGUGUAGCCGGGCUGACAAGUCAGAUGUGAAAUUCCGGGGCUCAACCCCGGACCUGCAUUUGAAACUGUUGGUCUUGAGUAUCGGUGAGGCAGGCGGAAUUCCUGGUGUAGCGGUGAAAUGCGUAGAUAUUAGGAGGAACACCAAUGGCGAAGGCGGCCUGCUAGACGGCAACUGACGGUGAGGCGCGAAAGCGUGGGGAGCAAACAGGAUUAGAUACCCUAGUAGUC